rnacentral:lncRNA from 1 species
CCACAUUCAAUUUUACAAACCCUAAAUCUCAUCUACGGCUUCAAGGCUGAAACCUCACGGCGAUUGUAACCUUCAUCGCCCCUCUUUCAUUCUACAAUUCUCAUGCAGGAAAUCUGGAUUCAUAUUCGAAUCUCUUACAUCUAUCCCUACCGGCGCCGGAAUACGGCGAGACGAGACAUGUUUCCUUGAGGAAGAUAUGGAUUGAGAGACAAGGAGACGAAUCUGUAUAUGGAUGUCUUUGGUAGCAACGUCAUCGGUAAACGAAGGGGUUGCAGCAACGAUCGUCUAUUCGAUACGUGAUGCAACGCUAAAUAUUUCACAGUAAUGGCAAUUUUGUCACACACACUUUAUUAGAAACACAUAUCAAGAUCUUUAAUACCGAGUCAAAGUAAAUCUGGGUUCCAUGUUGAGAAUAUGAAUGGAUUUGCAGUAGCGUGCAUGAGGUUCUUCCACCCGCGUUGGAUUCCACUUCUUAGCCACUACCUCUAAUUGACAAAACCAGUAGACCUGGCUGUGGACCUUGAUGAAGGAGUUUGAGAGCACUUUGCCUUCUAGCACUUAGGAAGGAGGUUGCACUUUUCGACCCAUUUGACAAAACAGCUAUCCUUAUCCAGGAUAUUGGAUUCUUAUACCUUGGAAUUAUGGUUAAAGGUAAUGUACUCUUGCACUGUUUGAAUUUGAAUAUUUCUGUCAAAUGUUUCGUCGUGGGAUUCGGAGUUGAAGGAGUUUGAUUUGGAGAAUAGAUGGUAUUGGCAUGCAGUUUAAUGUAGUCAUUGAAAAAUAGGCGAUAUGAGAAAUUAGGUUGAUUCUGUAUUUCAGAUUGUGGUCACGAUUUAUAGUUGAAGUUUUUUUUUUUUUUUUUACUUUUUUGUGUAUUAGAACUUACUAUUUUGUUGAAAAUUAGACAAUCAUAUGUGUAUAUAUAUUGCAAAUUAAUUUGUUGGUAGGUACCAAAUAAUAUCCAGAUAUGAUAUUGAGUAGUCUGGUACAUAGAAACUAAAUAAAUGACAGGAGGUUGCACUUUUCGACCCAUUUGACAAAACAGGUUAUUCAUGCAUGUUUAAGCUAUUUGCCAAUCAAAGGAGAUCUUAUUGAGGCUAAAGGUGUUCACGAGCUACUUUGUUCAUUGGUCAAAAGACAAUUAGACAUGGAACUGCAGCGUCCCUACAAUCGAUAUGUGCAAUAAUUGUUUCUAUAUUUGAUAUAAAUAUUUGAGUAUUCUAUUAUAUCCAUGCCCUGUGAGCUGAGGGGGCUACUCUAUUGAUUACCAGCACUCAUGAUUGGGUGAAUAGUCGUAGACAGUAUGCUUUCACGCAAAUAAGUUCCACUCUAUCCUUAUCCAGGACAUUGGAUUCUUAUAGCUUGGAAUUAUGGUUAAAGUGGAAUUUGUUCUUCGUUCUUAAGUGAGAGGGUUUGAGUCAAAAAAAAAAACGAGUACUUUUGCAGGUUGGGUUGGAAUUCUCAGCACAUUCUCUAUUGGAUGGUGGAAUAUUGAAUAUACAAGAGAUGAAUAUGACAUGGUUGGAGAUACGAAUUGAGUAAAAGUCUUGCGGCAUGAUCUGUUUACAAAUGAUGCUCUACUUUGGCUUUAGUUUCAACAAUUUAAAAUGUGUGCUUGGCGGUAGUUAAAGACGGAAGAGAAUAUUAGAGGGAAAGUCAACCACAUGAAGAAAGGAAAGAUAUUAGCUUUGUUCGAGAAUUUAGUGAAAAUGGUGUAGAUGAAGAUGUGUACAACUUUAAAAUUUGAUUUUUUUAGCUAAUAAUGAAUACAUAUGUAAGUGUAAUCCUUUUAGCUAUUUAAUAUCU